GCAGGUGAUGAGGCACCUCAGGGAUCAGCCACAGCAGAAAGUCACUCCUGGAGCUGGAGUGACAAAGGAGGAGAUGGUGUGAUGGAACCCAGGAGCUAGGUGGUGAAACUGGUGAAAGCUGGACCCUUGACAACCUGUCCAGUGGGAAUAGGGACCAUGGAGGGAAGGGCAUUCCUAUGGGAGCUAGAGCCAGAAGGAGGUGGGCAGAGAGAGAGAGGGAGAUGGUGGUGGGGGUGGGAGGUGGUGGAGAGAGAGAGAGAGAGAGAGAGAGAGAGAGAGAGAGAGGAGAAAUACUUUUCUCAGAAGUCCUCCACCAGUGCCUCCCACUGGCUGAACCUGCUUAGAAGUCAGAGCACACAGGAACCUGGAAAAUGUAGUUCCCCGUGAUACAAAGCAGGGGAGGGGUGGAAGUGGCCGCCCAAUGACCAGCAGAGACCAGAUAUCAUAGAGGUUAAUGAUAGGGGUCUGGGGAAGAGAUUUCCUGGCCCUGAAUCCUACCUUCCUACUUUUUAGUUGAAAUUACUUCGUAUAAAUUAUAUGACCUUUUUUGGCCUUGGUUUCUCAUCCACAAAUGGGAUAUUGAAAAAUGUUAAGUUAUCAGGUUGUUAAGGAGAGCAAACCUAAUACCACCUGUGAAGCCAUCACCCAAGGCCUUGGUCCAGAUCAUACCCUCAAGAAACAUCAGCCAUCGCAUAUGUCAGAAGACGGGUCAACCAGAGAUCAGAUCAAGGUCACCAGCAAAUGUUGUUCAACUCUCAGCAUGGCAGUUGGCACAGCUGGCCUGGGGCCCUCGUCAAAGAAACCGGUAUAACAACCAUUUUCUUGGGAAGGAAUCACUCAUAAAAGCUUGCCACAUCAUCAGCCAAGAAUGACAUAAGCUCCAUGCUGAAGGUGGCUUCUGCGGGGAAGGAAGUGAAUUGAGGGGAUCUCCUCCGUCACAUACAUUCUUCGGGGAUUAGAAAACUGUUAGCUGUUACCGCAAUGGAGACAUUCAGCAACGGCCGUGGGUCUUUGGAAAUGUGUGCAUAUCCCUGCUUCUCGUUUCCUCAUUCAGGAAUCUAAACGUUCCUGACACCUUGGCACAACCUGUUGGCAUGGCUUCUCAUCCCGGUUGAGUACACACUGAUCUCACGAGUGGGAAGAAAAUGUUCUAUUUGUGAGUGAGAGCCUUCAAAGUGACUUCUUCACUUCCUGAGGAGGAUCUAAAAGAAGGCCACAGACUGAGUCAUUCUCACCACACCCUGACUGGACCGCCAAGCUGGGAAUCUCCUUUGUAGAGAUGGGGGAGGGUAGUGUUGCUGAAAUCCACCCACCUGCUCCACAUUAUGUGCCAGGACCCCCAGGGAUCAGAGCACAGUGGACGUGCUCUGGGCCUUCCUGCCUUUGCCAUGCUAUUACUGGAGUGAGCCAGCUAAGUCAAACAGACUGCUGAUGCUGAGGAGACUUAUGUUAUAAAAGUCCUCAGGGUUGCUUCUUGGCUAGCUCCAAACUGAGUCCUCGGUGGCUGACAUGAGGAAUCACCAUGAGAACAGCUGGGACUCAUUGACCAAUGGCAGCUGGAUGACCCGCAGUCGCCAUCCACUGAAUCCUUCCAGAAACACCUGCACGUGGAGGCAGGUAUUGCUGCCUCCCCAUUUUGCAGGUGAAGCAGGAGGGUGCACACACCACCGACAGCAUCAGCCUGUGGAGACGCGGUGGGAGAAGCCAGGAGCCCAGCUGCUCACAGCAGGAUGGACAUGGCGAGGCCGGGCAGGGCCCUGCAAAGCCUUCCCAGGCACGGCA